rnacentral:misc_RNA from 1 species
GAUGAAGAACGUAUUGAAAUGCGAUAAGUAGUGUGAAUUGCAGAAUUCAGUGAAUCAUCGAAUCUUUGAACGCACAUUGCGCCCCUUGGUAUUCCAUGGGGCAUGCCUGUUCGAGCGUCAUUUGUACCUUCAAGCUUUGCUUGGUGUUGGGUGUUUGUCUCGCCUUUGCGUGUAGACUCGCCUUAAAAUAAUUGGCAGCCGGCGUAUUGAUUUCGGAGCGCAGUACAUCUCGCGCUUUGCACUCAUAACGACAGCGUCCAAAAGUACAUUUUACACUCUUGACCUCGGAUCAGGUAGGGAUACCCGCUGAACUUAAGCAUAUCAAUAAGCGGAGGA